UGGAUUAAUAACUUGCAUGAUAUUUUUUAAAGGGUUUUUAUCACAAAUGAUCAUUGAGAUUAAUCAAACUCAUCAUUUUGGUCCUUUAUUUUCAAAAUCAAUCAAUGUCAUUGUGAACACGAAAUUUCCUGAAAUGAAAGAGACAAGAACAACGUGCACAAAAUAAUAUUUGUAUUUGAUGAUUUUGGGUUACAAUCUCUCUCAAAUUUGAUCCUCUGAUUCGAUCUCCGUAAGGUGUGUAUUUGUGGAUGUUUCGUUGAUCCAAGGGCCGUCGAGGCUUGAUCUUGGAUGAACUGUUAGAAGUUUCUUCAAGGGGCCGUGGGCUUGAUCUUUGAAGGUGGAUUUGAGCGAAUCUUCAAGGAGCCGUUGGGGCUUGAUCUUGAGGAUGAGUGUUUCUUCAAGGGACGUUAAGGCUUGAUCUUGAAUAACGGUGAUGAGCGGAUCUUCAAGGGCUUUUGAGCUUAAUCUUGAAGAACAGUGAUGAACGGAUCUUCAAGGGCUUUUGGGCUUGAUCUUGAAGAAGAACAGUGAUGAAUGGAUCUUCAAGGGCCUUUUGGGCUUGAUCUUGAAGAACGGUGGCUUGUUGAUCCAAGGGCCGUUAGGGCUUGAUCUUGGAAGAACGAUGAACGAAGAACGAAUAACACUUUCUUCAAGGGUCGUCAGGGCUUGAUCUUGAAUUGGUGGAUAAUUGUUGAUCCAAAGGGCCGUUGGGGCUUGAUCUUGGAAGAACGAUGAACGAAGAACGAAGAACACUUUCUUCAAGGGCCGUCGGGGCUUGAUCUUGAAUUGGUGGAUGAUUGUUGAUCCAAAGGGUCGUUAGGGCUUGAUCUUGGAAGAACGAAGAACACUUUCUUCAAGGGCCGUCGGGGCUUGAUCUUGAAUUGGUGGAUGUUUGUUGAUCCAAAGGGCCGUUUGGGCUUGAUCUUGGAAGAACGAUGAACGAAGAACGAAGAAGGCUUUCUUGAUUCUUCGGGAACCUGGAUGUUUAAGAGCUUCGGAGUUUCAGAGCUUCAGAGCUUCAAGGUGUAAUAUGAAUUGGUUCGUUUAAAUGAAUGAAUUAGCCUCCUAUUUAUAGAAAAUUUCCAAGGCCUAAUUUUGAAUAUAAUAUUCCAGAUGAAAUAAGUCGUUUCUGCCAGGUGUUGACACGUGUCCUGUUUGAUGACUUUUCAAACUUAUUUUGAUUUUUUGUUUAGACACACGCUACGUGUAAAAUUUAUGUAAUACAUGAGCGUUGAAACUUUGAUUUAUCGGUCAACAUUUAUUUACCGAAAUUUCGAUGUCUACAAAUGCCCCUACUUCAAGACGCGUUGUAUACAUGUGCUUGUCGCGUGUAGGAGAUGCGUUUUGAAGUCCCUUAAUGUAGAUGUCAAUCCAAGGGCCGUCGAGGCUUGAUCUUGAAUUGGGCUGGAGAUUUCUUCAAGGGCCGUUGAGGCUUGAUUUUGAAUUGGGCUUGAGAUUUCUUCAAGGGCCGUUGAGGCUUGUUCUUGAACUUUUGUUUGAAAUUUCUUCAAGGGCCGUCGAAGCUUGAUCUUGAAGGUUGAAAUUGGACCACAAGGAGCUUCAUGUGGUAGAUGAUCUUUGGCUUUGAUAGUGGAUGAAUCGGCACGUAUUUGUUUUUGCGCUUUGUUGACUUUCCACAGCUUUGAUCUUGAACUGGAUUUGAUUCAAGAGUGGUAGACACUUGAUCUUGAAUCGGACUUGUGAUUUCCUCAAAGGCCGUCGAGCCUUGAUCUUGAAUUUGGCUGGAAGCUUCUUCAAGGGCCGUUAAGGCUUGAUUCUUGAAGGUUGACUCGAACACAUGGCAAGCAGGCAUGAGAUGAAGGUGACGACUUGUUGCUUUGUUCAAUCUUUCUAAUUCACACCUGAGCAGUUUGGUCAACGGUAUGAUCUUCAAGAUUGAUGGGCUCUUCUUACAGUUGGUGACUUGAUCUUUAAGGAUUUGAUUCAAGGGUGGUGAAUCGGCACGUGCAGCCCACAACGCCUAGUAAGCCGACCCAAGAAUUUGAGGGUCAAAACGAAUUCACCGUCCAGAGUGAUUGCAACCCUGAUGAUAUGAGAUACUUUUGAUUUUGAAGAAGUAGCGGAUGAAUCAGCAUGUGCUUGGUUGCACUUGUCUCCACAUGCUUCAAGGUAUCAUUUUCAUUUCCUUUAUCUGUUCCUUAGGCAGAUGUGGCAUCUUCUCGAGUUCCUCAUCUCAGACUCCUUCUGCUGAAUUGACUGUGCAGGCUGCAUUCUUCUCUGCUUGUUUCUUCUGCACGUUGUCUCCACGUGCUGCAAGGUAUCAUUUUCACUUGCCUUAUCUGUUCUUCAGGCAGAUGUGGUAGCUUCUUUGGAAGUACAGCAGCAGUGAGAGACGAGUACUCGAGAGCAGUGCUAGGUAGGCAAUCAGGGAAGGGUUCCAAGCAGUCGGUUCCUUACCCGAGUUUGAGUGGAGGUUCCGGCAUAUUGUUUUCUUUAUCCUUGUCUUUGUAGGUAAGAACAAGGACAAAGGAAAGGACAGGGAGAACGCAUGAUAUGAGAUACUCUUGCUUUAUACCCUGGUAAUAUGAGAUACUUUUGCUUUGGAGUCAUUGGCUUGCAGAGGUACCCCAAGGAAUAAGGAACACUGAAUGACUCGAAAGGCUUCAUUGGGAAAGCAUUUUUAGAGAUGAAGAAAGGCUCUGUAUGUCUGCCUUGCUAUGGAAGGUGAAGGUGGACAGUUAUAGGAAGUUCUUUAAUACCUGUAGAGGUACUAUUCUUUCACUCGUGUUGGCAACUAUUGAGUGAUUGAUCAGUAUGGCUUCACGCGCUUUCUUCUUCAUCAGAAAUCUUCGACAAAUUGUCCGUAAUUUCCGCCAAGUUGAGUGUGCAUAUGACAGGUGUUGACGCGGCUGAAGAAGACUGGCGCUUCUUCGAUAUCUGGGAUCGGCGCUUCGACAAAUUACCCGUGAUUUCCACAAAGCUGAGUUUGCGUAUGAUGAGUGCUGCUGCGUCUGGAAAAGCAAGAUGCCUCUCCGAUUUCUGAGCUUGCCUUUUCAAUUUUUGAAUUGGCCUCUUCGAAUUAUGAGCUCGCCUCUUCGAUCUCUGAAAUCCCGUCGAGUGCUGAUUUUUUAUAGAGGCACGCAAUUUGUUUCAAAGCAUACUUGAAUUUUCGCUUGUAGAAACUCCCAUCUUGCACUUCUAAGAUCUUGAAUUAUCUGAUCUCUUCUUUCUUCAACACCUUUGAAAAUGUCUGGACCCUUCGACCGUCGUUUUGAUUUGAACCUUGGUAAAGAGGCAGUCCCGCCUUCUCCAGACAACAUAUGGCGCCCAUCCUUCGUAUCCCCUACUGGUCCUCUUACCGUUGGGGAUUCGGUGAUGAAGAAUGAUAUGAUCGCUGCGGUGGUGGCUCGGAACCUUGUCACUCCCAAAGAUAACAGACUGCUUUCCAAACGGUCUGAUGAGUUGGCUGUUAAGGAUUCUCUGGCCCUCAGUGUGCAGUGUGCAGGUUCUGUGUCUAAUAUAGCCCAACGUCUAUUUGCUCGAACCCAUCAAGUUGAAUCAUUGGCGGCUGAAGUGAUGAGUCUCAAACAGGAGAUUAGAGGGCUCAAGCAGGAGAAUAAACAAUUGUAUAAGCUCGCACAUAGCUAUGCGACAAACAUGAAGAGGAAGAUUGACCAGAUGCAGGAAUCUGAUGGUCAGAUUUUACUUGAUCAUCAGAGGUUUGUGGGUUUGUUCCAGCAGCAUUUGCCUUCGUCUUCUGGGGAUGUACCGCGUAAUGAAGCUCCAAAUGAUCAACCUCCGAUGCCUCCUCCUUCUGAGGUUGUACCGCGUAAUGAAGCUCCAAAUGAUCAACCUUCGGUGCCUCCUCCUCCUGGGGUUCUGCCGAGUACUGAGGCGCCAUCUGAUCAACCUUGAAGAUCCCCUCUUGUAAAUUUGAUUUGACCUUUUUUUUUAAGGUAUGUAGAAUGCAAAUUUAUGUAAAAUUUCCAGGAAAAAUAAAUAAAAUGGACUUUAUUUCUCUUAAUGCAUUUUUUUUCUUUUUUUUUUCUGUAUACAUACAUAUAUUAUGUACACACACACACACAUAUAUAUAUAUAUAUAUAUAUAUAUAUAUAUUAAUUAUUAUUAUUAUUAUUUAUUUUUUUCACUUGGACUGAUCCACCAUUCCAAAACCCCUACCCCUUUUUUUGCAUGGUGCUAGGCUAGCCACCAAGAAUCCACUUUCUUCUUCUUUUUUUUUUUUUAAUUUAAUUUAAUUUAAUUUUUAUUUAUUUAUAUUUUUUUUCUUUUCCGUCUGCUUUCGGUGCCAGAUGCACCAUCCCUUAUAUAUAUAUAUAUAUAUAUAUAUUAUAUAUAUAUAUAUAUAUAUUAGGGUGGCGGCUGACACCAUCAUUUUUUUAUAUUUUUUUUUAAUUAAUUUUUUUUUGCUUUCUGUGCCGAGUGCACCAUGUCUCAUCUUUUCCCCUUUUUUUAUAAUUUUUUUCAUGCACAUAUACAUACAUACGUACAUACAUAUACAUACAUAUAUAUAUAUAUAUAUAUAUAUAUAUUUAUAGGGUGCGGGAUAGGAGCUUGGAGGAGGAAGAAGGAGGAGCACGGAGGAGGAGGAAGAAGGCUUCUCGGCCGGCUAGUCAUUUGACGGCGGUCUUUGAUGUUGUUGGCAGCUACGUGGCAAGAGACGGAGGAGGUCUUUGGGUGUGUAUUGAUAAACUUUGGUUUUGUCAAUCUCAUUUAAAGGCGGCAGCCAUGGCGGAGGUGCAGAGGAAGAAGCUCCACCGCUAUCUUUACUGAGCACAGCCAUUGCACUGCCUGCCGAGCACAGCCAUUACACACCAUUACACACCCGUUGCACUGCCACUGAGCACGGCCACUGAGCAUAGCUACUGACCAUAGGCACAGAGCACAGCCACUGCCCGUUGCACUGCCUGCCAUCGCGAAGGAAGGCGAGAGAGCUGGAGCUUACGCUGUUGUGGAGGGAGGUUCUGAAGACGAGAAUCCCAUUGGAAUGAAGAGAAGACAGGAGCCAAGAGGAUAGACAAUCCCAGCUUUUUGUUUGAAACGCUACCAUCUCCGACUAGGCUGACGAGACACUGAAGUUAUCCUCUAAAAAUUCAAACACCGACUGCCCUUUGUUCCCUGAUGGUUGACUUUAGCGGCGGGGAGGGAGGUGCCCUUGGUGAUGUUCAAAAUGACGUCGAGUUGAGCACUGCUCUUGAAGGUCUCACAAAGGCAAGAAGAAAGAGUAAAUGAGCAGCGUUAAGCUUUAAGCUUGGAAGUUUAGCUUCACAAAGUCAAAGGCGGAGCGGCCUGGGUGAACCGACUUGAUUCUGGCGAGAGAUCCUGCAGGUUUUCCGGCGAGGAAUGGAGAGAGAGCAUCAACACCAGUGGCGGAAUCACGCCCGCGGUGCCCAGUUUCAAGUGAGUCUUGGAAGACGAGGACGAAGUGGAAGACUUUCUGACCAAGUUUCUGAUAUCGAUGGCAUGUGUAUUGAAGCCACCGAGAGCUCCAGCCAUUUCAGAUCCAGUAAGGUUCUUGAGCAUGUUAAGCUUCGCAGAAAGGCGCCGCGUUGAUUUUCAAAGGAGUGGUCGUAGGUGACAACCGAUUCUUCAAACCGCGAAGGCUGAAUGUGGGUGACGAUGAUGAAGCCGAGAGACGGAAAUGCCGUUGUGUUUGGUCAUGGGCUCAUUCCUCCUUGUCAAUCUAUCGUUGUGGGCUUGCCUUGGAAGUACCAGGAGAUCGAGACAAGCUCGACAUUGGUAAGCUUGCUCAGAUCUGGGACGGCGCUGGGCAAGGCAGCGGUUUGUUGCUUUAGUGGCGAGGUUUCCUCUUGGGUAUGACGGUCGUGGCUAUAACAGAGGGUACCACGUGUUUUUCCUGAGACCCAUCAAGCUCGUUACCUGCUAUCUGACUGCAGCUUCGAAAGCUUUUGCUCCGCCGCAGGCAACCGCCACCUCUUGAAGUCGCAGGGAAGAAUGGACUUGCACAGAGAGGUCAUCGAGUCGUGGAGAUGAAGUUGGGAGGCUGCUGUAUUGGUGAUUGGGUUGAUGGUAUGGCUACUCCGGGUGUGCGCACCAUGUGCAGUAGGUGGCCAUGAUUGGUUGGUUCACAUGAAGCAUAUUCCAAGGGUUUAUGAAACUGUUCUGAUCGGCAACAGGGGUGGUUUCAAGGCCUCUGCUGUGGCUGAUGCCGUCGUUGAUGUAACCGGGAUCUCGCCAUUCUUUGAGUACGAGAGAGACAAUGGGGUCUCGAAAGGAAAGGAAGGCUGUGAAGUCGAAUGAGUCGUUAGGCCUGGACGCUACAGGAAAUGAAGGCUGUAGGUCCAAGAACUGGGCCUCGGCUUUUGGGAGUUAUGUAUAUGCAUAUAUACACACACACAUAUAUAUAUAAUAUUUGUAUAUUCUUUUUUUUUUUUUUUUGUAAAUACAUAAUAACAUAUGUAUUCAUUUUUUUUUUGUAAUAAAAUUGACUCUAUUUAAUAAAACAUUUAUUUUUUUUAUUUUUGAUGUGACUGAACUUGAAAUUGAAUAUUCAAGCUGCCUACGUACCCUUCCAAAGAAAGAGAUCAAGUCAAAACGUAGUUCAAAUGAGUGAUGAAUUUAACAGUGAUUUUGAUGAUGAUUUUGCCGUACACAGUUUAUGCUCUUGCGGGCCAGGAGCUUUGGUUCGUGCAGUUUAGGCUCGUGCAAACAAGAAGUGUUGGUGCCGUUUGCAGUUUCAGCUCGUGCAGACCAGGAGCGUUUGGUGUCGUUUGCAGUUUCAGUUCGUGCAAACCAGGAGUGUUGGUGUUGCCUUUUAUGCUCGUGCAGACCAGGAGCGUUGGUGUCGCCUUUUAUGCUCGUGCGGAUGAGGAGCAUUGAUGCCAUCUUUUAUGCUCAUGCGGACCAUAAGCGUUGUGCCACGCAGUUUAGGCUCGUGCAGGCGAGGAGCUUCGUGUCCUACAGUUUAGGCUCGUGUGGACAAGGAGCUUUGGUUCGUGUAGUUUAGGCUCGUGCGAACAAAGAGCAUUGGUUCGUGCAGUUUAGGCUCGUGCGAACAAUGGUUUAGGCUCGUGCGAACAAGGAGCAUUGGUUCGUGCAGUUUAGGCUCGUGCGAACAAGGAGCAUUGGUUCGUGCAGUUUAGGCUCGUGCGAACAAGGAGCAUUGGUGAAUUUGUCAAGCAAUUUUGGAGAGGCGUUCCUCACAAUCUUCGUAGCAAGGAGCUUUGACCGAGUGAUUGAAGAAGUCUUUGGGCAAGAAAUCAUGCAUUGUGAUGGGGACGGACGAUCUUCGUGUCGAAGUUUCAUCAUCUUCAACACGUUCACGUUGUUUUGAAGGUUGAUAAAAGUUGCUUUGCCCCCUUUCCGAUUGGCGGACUUGUGGAGGAGACGUAUGCUUCUUGUGCAAUUUCUUAGGAGUGACUUAAGUUCAUUCUUCAACUUUGUUUUGCUUGACUAGCAUGGUUUUGGAGCAUGCCCCCAGCGAUUGAGGUGAAGAUUUUAAGUUGACAGAGCCAUAAGUGAUGGUGGUAUAAUUUGACUUCACCACAUCGUCAAGAUCUAGCUCGAUGAUUCCUUUCUGAGCCAGCUUCAUGAUGAGAUCUUUCAGCACGAAGCAUUUUUCUGUCGGAUGACUGAUGAAGCGGUGGAUUUACAGUAUCUUGGACUAUCGGUACGAUUCAUCUCUUCCGGUCGUCUGCACUCAGGCAAACCGAUCACCUUCUUGUCCAACAGGUCAUCCAGCAUGGCAACCACAUCAGAGUCGGGGAAUGGAUAAGUCUUCUCCUCAAGCUCCUUCAAAGUGCGUCUACGCAUCUCUUGAUCACGAAAAGCUUCGGUUUGAAUCGCCUUGCCUCGUGUAGGGAUUUUGACGGGAGUUGUGUUGACCGUCAUUGCUUCCUUGGUGGAUUUCCAUGCAGCCUUCUCCACCUUUGUCUUAAGAACUUUGUCAAUCUUGUAGUCAGAGAUCAGUUCUUUCUUCCCAUGAUGGGCGAUGCUUAACUCCAUGUCAUAGGCGCGGGUGGCUAGCUCUUCGAAGGCCCGUGGUUUAAUGCCUUAAAUGAUGUAUUGCAAACCCCAUUGCAUACCUUGGACGCACAUCUCGAUUGAAGAGGUCUCCGAGAGCCUGUCUUUGCAGUCGAGGCUUAGAGUGCGCCAUCUGUUGAUGUAGUCAAUGACCGGCUUAUCUUUCCAUUGCUUUGUGCUCGUUAGCUCUAGCAUGUUCACUGUGCGGCGAGUGUUGUAGAAGCGGUUGAGGAAUUCCCGCUCCAAUUGCUCCCAGCUAUUGAUGGACUCAGGCUCUAGGUCUGUGUACCACUCAAAGGCGUUUCCUUUCAACGAGCGCACAAACUGCUUGACGAGGUAGUCCCCUUCGGUCCCUGCGUUGUUGCAAGUUUCAACAAAGUGGGCGACGUGUUGUUUCGGGUUUCCCUUUCCAUCAAAUUGCAUGAACUUUGGCGGUUGAUAACCCCUCGGCAUCCUUAAGGCGUCGAUCUUCUUUGAAUACAGCUUCGAGUACAACCCGGAGGUAUUUGAGCUCCCUUCGUACUGUGCCUUGAUGGUCUUAGUGAUCAUCUCUUGCAGCUGCUGGAUAGAAAGAGAUCUCAUGAGUGCCGCUGCUUGGUCUGGCUCCGGCUUCGCAUCGAUUCUCUCCACCGUAGGCUCAUCUUCUGGGUUAGGGUUCUCGCCGUCCUGUGGCUCCAGUCGGCUGACGAGUGCAGCGAUUUGCAAGUCUUUUUCUUCCACAGUUCGGGUUAGCCUUGCGAUUGCUUCAUUCAUUUGAGCCAGCUGCUCAUCGAUUGAAGUUGCUCCAAUGGUCAUGACUUGCAUGGCUGAACUGCGGCUCGAAUCGGCAUCGGAGAGCAUGGAUUCGGAGUAUUUCCUUGGACUUUCGCCCCUUGGUGCCCUUGGUGAGGCUAAGGUGAUCAAAGGCUCGUGCCUUGGGUGCUCUUGUUCCCUUGGCAGAGUUGAUGCAGAGGUGAAAGAGGUGGCAGAAGUAGCUCUUGCCUUGCUUCGAGUCGUGAUGCCUAAAGUGACACCACUUGUGUCAAGGACGCUUUUGUUCUUUGCGCCAGUUGCGAGAAGUUUGAGCCUUCCUUGAUGCCAUUAAUUUUGGAAGUGUGCUCGAAUUUCUUGAACGGAGAAAGAGAUGAGAGGUAGAGAUUGUCCCACUGGGCGUGCCAAUUUGUGAACACGAAAUUUCCUGAAACGAAAGAGACAAGAACAACGUGCACAAAAUAAUAUUUGUAUUUGAUGAUUUUGGGUUACAAUCUCUCUCAAAUUUGAUCCUCUGAUUCGAUCUCCAUAAGGUGUGUAUUUGUGGAUGUUUCGUUGAUCCAAGGGCCGUCGAGGCUUGAUCUUGGAUGAACUGUUAGAAGUUUCUUUAAGGGGCCGUGGGCUUGAUCUUUGAAGGUGGAUUUGAGCGAAUCUUCAAGGAGUCGUUGGGGCUUGAUCUUGAGGAUGAGUGUUUCUUCAAGGGACGUUAAGGCCUGAUCUUGAAUAACGGUGAUGAGCGGAUCUUCAAGGGCUUUUGAGCUUAAUCUUGAAGAACAGUGAUGAACGGAUCUUCAAGGGCUUUUGGGCUUGAUCUUGAAGAAGAACAGUGAUGAACGGAUCUUCAAGGGCCUUUUGGGCUUGAUCUGGAAGAACGGUGGCUUGUUGAUCCAAGGGCCGUUGGGGCUUGAUCUUGGAAGAACGAUGAACGAAGAACGAAGAACACUUUCUUCAAGGGCCGUCGGGGCUUGAUCUUGAAUUGGUGGAUGAUUGUUGAUCCAAAGGGUCGUUGGGGCUUGAUCUUGGAAGAACGA
rnacentral:lncRNA from 1 species